AGUGAACGCUGGCGGCAGGCCUAACACAUGCAAGUCGAGCGGCAGCGCGUCCGGACCACCCUCGGGUGGUCGGAUGGCGGCGAGCGGCGGACGGGUGAGGAAUGCAUCGGAAUCUGCCUCGUUGUGGGGGAUAACGUAGGGAAACUUACGCUAAUACCGCAUACGACCUACGGGGGGAAAUGGGGGACCGCAAGGCCUCACGCGAAUGGAGCGGCCGAUGUCAGAUUAGCUAGUUGGUGGGGUAAAGGCCACCAAGGCGACGAUCUGUAGCGGGUCUGAGAGGAUGAUCCGCCACACUGGGACUGAGACACGGCCCAGGACUCCUACGGGAGGCAGGCAGUGGGGAAUUUUGGGACAAUGGGCGCAAGCCUGAUCCAGCCAUCCCGCGU
rnacentral:rRNA from 1 species